CACUGAAAAUUGAAGAAAGUGGGACACUUGAACCAACGUUUCUUACAUGUAUAUAUGUGGAGACUUCCAUUUUCAAUGGUGCAAGUUUGCUGGUUUGAAUUUCACUAUGGAAUCUGCCUAGGACUACUGGAAAGAACAUGCUUUUAAAAAAAGGUAAGGAAGCAAUUGACCCAAGCAAUUGACUGCAUAUAUUGUAAUUUGAAAAUAUUACUGACCAACACUAAUCUUGUU